rnacentral:misc_RNA from 1 species
AACGCACCUUGCGCUCCUUGGUAUUCCGAGGAGCAUGCCUGUUUGAGUGUCAUUAAAUUCUCAAUCUCUACAACUUUGUGUUGUCUAGAUUGGAAGUGGGGGUUUCUUUGUGUGGAAUCUAAUUCCUCACUCCCCUUAAAUGUAUUAGCUGGAAUGCCUCUGCAUAUCUGACUAUCAGUGUGAUAAUUAUCUAUGCUGUAGUUGUUGCGUGAGGGUAUCUGCUUCAUUAAUCGUCGAAAGACAAUUCUAUAUGACCAUCUUGACCUCAAAUCAGGUAGGACUACCCGCUGAACUUAA